GAUGAACGCUGGCGGCGUGCCUAAUACAUGCAAGUCGAGCGAACAGACGAGGAGUUUGCUCCUCUGACGUUAGCAGCGGACGGGUGACUAACACGUGGAUAACCUACCUAUAAGACUUGGAUAACUUCGGGAAAGCGGAGUUAAUACCGGAUAAGAUAUUGAACCGCAUGGUUCAGUAGUGAAAGACGGUUUUGCUGUCACUUAUAGAUGGAUCCGCGCCGCAUUAGCUAGUUGGUAAGGUAACGGCUUACCAAGUCAACGAAGUGUAGAGGACCUGAGAGAGUGGUCGGCCACACUGGAGCUGGAACACGGUCCCGGCGACUGAGGGAGGCAGCAGUAGGGAACCGUACGCAACAGGCGAAAGUAUGACGCAGCAACGGAGCGCGAGUGAUGAAGGUCUCCGGAUCGUAAAAAUCUGUUAUGAGGGAAGAACCAAUGUGAAAGUAACUAUACACGUCUUGACGGUACCUACUCAGAAAGCCACGGCUAACUACGUG
rnacentral:rRNA from 1 species